rnacentral:misc_RNA from 1 species
GGAAAUUGUUGGCCAAAACCUGUGGAUGUUGUUCCUCCCACCUCUAAUACUCCUCCUCGAGUGAUCAUGAAGAAACCAAUUAAUACAUCUCCGGGAAGUAACACAAGGAGUGUGGUGGCGCAGCCUAGCGGAGAUGGCGGUGAUUCGAGGAAAAUGGAAGUUCCGGCUAGCGGAAAAAUAAUUACGCCAAAUUUAAAAAUGUUUACGCUAGCGGAAUUAAAGAGCGCGACGCGUAAUUUUCGGCCCGAUACGGUGCUAGGUGAGGGAGGAUUUGGUACAGUAUUUAAAGGAUGGGUCGAUGACAAAACAUUUGCACCUUCUAGAGUUGGAGUUGGUAUGC